AUUGAACGCUGGCGGAAUGCUUUACACAUGCAAGUCGAACGAUGAACCUUAGCUUGCUAAGGGGAUUAGUGGCGAGCGGGUGAGUAAUAUAUCGGAACGUGCCUUGUAAUGGGGGAUAACUAGUCGAAAGAUUAGCUAAUACCGCAUACGCCCUGAGGGGGAAAGUAGGGGAUCUUCGGACCUUACGUUAUAAGAGCGGCCGAUAUCUGAUUAGCUAGUUGGUGGGGUAAUGGCCUACCAAGGCGACGAUCAGUAGCUGGUCUGAGAGGACGACCAGCCACACUGGAACUGAGACACGGUCCAGACUCCUACGGGAGGCAGCAGUGGGGAAUUUUGGACAAUGGGCGCAAGCCUGAUCCAGCCAUUCCGCGUGAGUGAAGAAGGCCUUCGGGUUGUAAAGCUCUUUCGCAAGGGAAGAAAACUUACCAUCGAAUAAAUGGUGAGGCUGACGGUACCUUGAUAAGAAGCACCGGCUAACUACGUG
rnacentral:rRNA from 1 species